UACGAAGGGUGCAAACGUUGCUCGGAAUUAUUGGGCGUAAAGCGCACGUAGGCGGUAUUGCAAGUCGGAUGUGAAAUCCCUCGGCUUAACCAAGGAAGUGCAUCCGAAACUGCCGUACUUGAGUACUUAAGAGGACCGCGGAAUUCCCGGUGUAGAGGUGAAAUUCGUAGAUAUCGGGAGGAACACCGGUGGCGAAGGCGGCGACCUGGGUAGAUACUGACGCUGAGGUGCGAAAGCGUGGGGAGCAAACAGG
rnacentral:rRNA from 1 species